rnacentral:rRNA from 1 species
AACGAACGCUGGCGGCAUGCCUAACACAUGCAAGUCGAACGAGACCUUCGGGUCUAGUGGCGCACGGGUGCGUAACGCGUGGGAACCCGCCCUUAGGUUCGGAAUAACUCCCCGAAAGGGGUGCUAAUACCGGCUAAUGUCUCCGGACCAAGGACUUCUCGCCUUUGGAUGGGCCCGCGUUGGAUUAGCUAGUUGGUAGGGUAAAAGCCUACCAAGGCGACGAUCCAUAGCUGGUCUGAGAGGAUGAUCAGCCACACUGGAACUGAGACACGGCCCAGACUCCUACGGAGGGCAGCAGUGGGGAAUAUUGGAGAAUGAGCGAAAACGUGAUCCAGCAAUGCCGCGUAAGAGAUGAAGGGCGUUGGAUUGUAAAGCUCUUAUACCCGGGAUGAUAAUGACAGUACCUGGAGAAUAAGCACCGGCUAACUCCGUG